CACAUUGUACUGCUAUUAUUUUGAACAAUACUGUACAUCGUCUGUCUGAAUGCUUUAUUCUGAUUAAGCUUGCAGGUGUUGCAUGGCUAGCUGUGCAUCAAAUAAUUUCAAUGCUUUGUCAGGUGGCUCUUUGCCUCCGCAUUGUGCAUUUAAAUUGCAAGUAGUUAUGCAUUAUCUCUUACAUAUAAUAUGUGUUUCUCUAGAUUGGAAAUGGUUGUUUUCAACUGAUUGACAGAAUUGCAGAGUCAAAGGGAAAGGACAUUCAUAUUGUUGACCUGUAUACCGUACCAACAUGGCUACCCCCAAUGAGCUGUGAUCCAAUGUUAAGUCUGCCUGAUGAUGCUCACUUAAAAGAAGCGGUGGUGAUUCCAAUAUGGACACCAGGACACUACCAGCUGUGUGGAAAUUGCAUGUAGGAUUAUACCGGGAAAAUGGACUGAAAAAACAGGCCUUGAUUUACUGGUUGGCUGUCUAUCUAAUCUUUCCUUCUAUCUAUCUGUAAUCUAUCCAUCUAUGAAAUUGUGCUUAUUCCCGCCUUUCAAUAUAAUUAAGGGUUUUCCAGGACAACCAUAUGGAAACGACUGUGGUAUAUUUAUGUUGAUGUCUGCAUUGUACAUAGUGCUGGAUGCCCCAUUUGACUACACAAUUCUGGACAUGGCAGAGCUGAGGAAAUGGUGGUGCGUCAUGUUAAUGGAGAACUUCAGACUGGAA